GAUGAACGCUAGCUACAGGCUUAACACAUGCAAGUCGCGGGGCAGCAUGGGGGUUGCUUGCAACUCCCGAUGGCGACCGGCGCACGGGUGAGUAACGCGUAUCCAACCUGCCCUUCACCACGGGAUAACCCGGCGAAAGUCGGACUAAUACCGUAUGUUGUCCAUUGACGGCAUCCGAUUUGGACGAAAGGCUUUGCGGUGAAGGCUGGGGAUGCGUCCGAUUAGCCAGACGGCGGGGUAACGGCCCACCGUGGCUACGAUCGGUAGGGGUUCUGAGAGGAAGGUCCCCCACACUGGAACUGAGACACGGUCCAGACUCCUACGGGAGGCAGCAGUGAGGAAUAUUGGUCAAUGGGCGUAAGCCUGAACCAGCCAAGUAGCGUGCAGGAUGACGGCCCUAUGGGUUGUAAACUGCUUUUAUGCGGGGAUAAAGUGGCCCACGUGUGGGCUUUUGCAGGUACCGCACGAAUAAGGACCGGCUAAUUCCGUG
rnacentral:rRNA from 1 species